rnacentral:snRNA from 1 species
GUACGUGAGGGCGAUCUGGCUGCAACAUCUGUCACCCCAUUGAUCGCCAGGGUUGAUUCGGCUGAUCUGGCUGGCUAGGCAGGUGUCCCCUUCUUCCCUCACUGCUCCAUGUGCGUCCCUCCCGAAGCUGUGCACUCGGUCGAAGAGGACGACCUUCCCCGAAUAGAGGAGGACCGGUCUUCGGUCAAGGGUAUACGAGUAGCUGCGCUCCCCUGCUAGAACCUCCAAACAAGCUCUCGAGAAAAGGCAGACUGGGCUGGAGAGAUCACUUAGUGGUUAAGU